UACGGAAGGUCCGGGCGUUAUCCGGAUUUAUUGGGUUUAAAGGGAGCGUAGGCCGGUCUUUAAGCGUGCCGUGAAAUUUUGUGGCUCAACCAUGAGAGUGCGGCGCGAACUGGAGACCUUGAGUGCGCGGAAGGCAGGCGGAAUUCGUGGUGUAGCGGUGAAAUGCUUAGAGAUCAUACAGAACACCGAUUGCGAAGGCAGCUUACCAAGCUACUUCUGACGUUGAGGCACGAAAGCGUGGGGAGCAAACAGG
rnacentral:rRNA from 1 species